GAAGUCCCGUCAUGGUAAAAGCCAGAGCCAUGUAGCAUGGAUUGCAGGGGGUGAUGGAAACGUUGCCUUCUGAAGCCCAUCGACAAAGUCUGCAAUAAGUCAGGCAAGCAACUAUCCGGGUUGUAACGAACGUGAACGUAGAGGUAGCCUCGUAAAAGUGUAAAUUCACUGGCCGAGCCUCUCACAAACAGGCGAAGGCAGAAUUCUUUUACCAUACUGGUUAAUAAGGUAUAAGGACGGUGACGGGGUAUCAGCGGC
rfam:Candidatus Brocadia caroliniensis isolate 26THWARD NODE_215_length_5782_cov_32.8791_ID_429, whole genome shotgun sequence.